UACGGAGGGUGCGAGCGUUGUCCGGAAUCACUGGGCGUAAAGGGCGCGUAGGCGGCUCGUGAAGUCAGUGGUGAAAGCCCAGGGCUCAACUCUGGGUCGGCCACUGAUACUCGCGAGCUCGAGUUUGGUAGAGGCAGAUGGAAUUCCGGGUGUAGCGGUGGAAUGCGUAGAGAUCCGGAAGAACACCGGUGGCGAAGGCGGUCUGACUGG
rnacentral:rRNA from 1 species